rnacentral:sRNA from 1 species
CAUCAGGAUCCACAUCCCAAGAAGAAAGUCCUUCCCACUUCGCCGCAGUCCCAGGCGAGCCACUGGGGGAUGAGGCCCAGGGACAGCAGCCCCUCCAGUUGGAGGAGGAUCAGAGGGCGUGGCAGCGGCUGGAGCAGCUCAUCCUGGGACAGCUGGAGGAGCUGAAGCAGCAGCUGGAACAGCAGGAGGAGGAGUUGGGUCGACUGCGCCUGGGCGUGGUGAGGCUGCGGGGGGACCUGGCAGGGCCGGGCAUGGAGGGGGUGCUUCAGGUGAGUGCCGAGGCUUCCUUUCCACCAGGGGGCGACAGACUCAGAGAAAAGGGUUCAGCAUUUGACCCUGGAGAACGAGGCCCUGAAGCAGAGCCUGAGCCUCAUGCGGGACCUCCUGCUGCAUUGGGGCCCCGGGCCCCCCAUCAGGGCUCCGCAGGUACUCUGCUCCCGAGUUGCAGCCAUUCCUGCAGCCUGGGGCUCUUGCACACCUGGCAUGCAGCCACAGGACCCAAGCCUCCUCAGGAUCUCCCGGGAUGGUCUGUGUAGGGCAGCCCCAUCAGGGAGGCUGAUGCCAGUGGGAGGACUCCCCUCUCCGUGGUUCCUCUGAGUGGCUGAUCCCAGGAGAGCAGAGGGACCGUGGGAAGGAGCUCUGCGUGGAGUUGGGAGGCAUGGGUUCACAGCCAGCUCUGCCCACCUCUUGACUUGACUUUCCCAUCUGUGAAAUGGUACCGCAGACCGUCCCUCUCUGAGUCCCUCCUGGCCCCCACCCUCCCGCAGGAGGAGGCGGAGGCAUUGGUAGAGCUCCAGGGCCGGCUUCAGGAGGCCCAGGACACCACAGAAGCCCUCCGAGCCCAGGUGGGCAUGGGGCUCAGGGA